rnacentral:rRNA from 1 species
CAGAUUGAACGCUGCGGGAUGCUUUAUACAUGCAAGUCGAACGGGCAACACGGACUUCCUCGGUCUGGUGGCGGAAAAGGAACGGGUGAGUAAUGUAUCGGAACGUGCCUAGUAGCGGGGGAUAACUACGCUGCUGUAGCUAAUACCGCAUACGUUCUUCGGGGGAAAGCGGGGGACCUUCGGGCCUCGCACUAUUAGAGCGCCGAUAUCGGAUUAGCUAGUUGGUGGGAUAACGGCUCACCAAGGCGACGAUCCGUAGCUGGUUUGAGAGGACGACCAGCCACACUGGGACUGAGACACGGCCCAGACUCCUACGGAGGCAGCAGUGGGGAAUUUUGGACAAUGGGGGAAAUGAUCCAGCCAUCCCGCGUGUGCGAUGAAGGCCUUCGGGUUGUAAAGCACUUUUGGCAGGAGAAGAAACGGCACGGAUAAUACCUGCAACUGAUGGCACCUGCAGAAUGCUACCGCGGCUAACUACGUGCCAGCAGCCGCGGGGACACAGGUGCAAGCAAGUAAUCGGACUACUGGGCGUAAAGGUGCGCAGCAGGCGGUUCGGAAAGAAAGAUGUGAAAUCCCAGAGCUGAAUUGGAACUGCAUUUUGACCACCGAGCUAGAGUGUAUCAGAGGGAGGUGGAAUUCCGCGUGUAGCAGUGAAUGCGUAGAUAUGCGGAGGAACACCGAUGGCGAAGGCAGCCUCCUGAUAACACUGACGCUCAUGCACGAAAGCGUGGGGAGCAAACAGGAUUAGAUACCCUGGUAGUCCACGCCCUGCAAAACGAUGUCAACUAGCUGUUGGGGCCUUCGGGCUCGGUAGCGCAGCUAACGCGUGAAGUUGACCGCCUGUGAGCAUGGUCAAAAGAUUAAAACUCAAAAGGAAAUUAGCGACGGGGACCCGCAAGCGGUGGAUGAUGUGGAUUAAUUCGAUGCAACGCGAAAACCUUACCUACCCUUGACAUGUCUGGAAUCCCGAAGAGAUUUGGGAGUGCUCGCAAGAGAACCGGAACACAGGUGCUGCAUGGCUGUCAGCGAAGCUGUAUCGUGAGAUGUUGGGUUAAGUCCCGGCAACGAGCGCAACCCUUGUCAUUAGUUGCUACGAAAGGGCACUCUAAUGAGACUGCCGGUGACAAACCGAGGAAGGUGGGGACGACGUCAAAACCCUCAUGGCCCUUAUGGGUAGGGCUUCACACGUCAUACAAUGGUCGGGACAGAGGGUCGCCAACCCGCGAGGGGAGCCAAUCCCAGAAACCCGAUCGUAAAUCCGGAUCGCAGUUCGUAACCGACUGCGUGAAGUCGGAAUCGCUAGUAAUCGCGGAUCACAUGUCGCGGUGAAUACGUUCCCGGGUCUUGUACACACCGCCCGUCACACCAUGGGGAGUGGGUUUUACCAGAAGUAGUUAGCCUAACCAAGGAGGGCGAUUACCACGGUAGGAUUCAUGACUGGGGUGAAGUCGUAACAAGGUAG